UUGUUAUGAUUUGCCCGCCAAAAAAUGGUCAAUUAAAAUUCAGAAUAAUUUCAUCUGUUGUAAAAUGACCUGCUAACUCACUGUUAUUAACAUGGACUAUCGACACGUCUGGUAGCACUUGUGUCAGACAGAGACAGCUAUAUUGUUAUACACAAUUUACCAUGUUGGUGUUGGUGUGAGCGAAAAAUGCGAUUUUUAGGACCAAAAAAUGAAACAAAUACACGAUUCCCGACUUAAAUUCGCUCGCCCCACAUCCAACACAAAAAACUCUUUAAAUAUGGCCGCGUCACACAAAUCCCAUUCGGAACUCACAUAUUUGUGGUUCAGGGCGAAACACACACGAUCCCGGAGGUGCGAACUUCAAAACCAAAACAAGUGCACACCAGUGGGUCUUUCGGGACCCGGAUCGAAUGAAAUCACUAGCUAUCUCUGGCGACGUUAUCAAUAAGGUUCUUCCAUGAGAUGAAUGAAUUGAUGAACUGAACUUCUGCCUCUAUCUGUCUUUCUCUGUGUGCGAGUGUGAGUGAGAUGAUAGGCGUGUUGCAAAUGGCGCUGCCAACGCGGUGUACAGAGAAAAAUCCCUAACGCAUGCCGGUCGGAAAUCAAUUUGUUUAUUUCUUAAGAUUUCUAGAAUUUCUUUAAAUACUUUAAGCUACUUAAGCUUAAGCUAAGAGUUUCCUUCCAAACUUACCCUUUCUUCAUUUAUAAAAGCGUUUUAAUUUUUAGGGCUCAUCGCAUCUAAUUCAUCGAUCUUAAGGACCUUCUUCAUUGCUCCUAACAAUUGAUUUCUUCUUAUAACAAAUCAAACACACCACAAUUUUUUUACUCACUUUAACAUUUUACAGCCGAAAUAUUUAAUAAAACUAAUAAAAAAACGAAAACAAAUUUUAAUUCGAGGACAUAGCAGUGGAACUGCCAACUCGUUUUUUAAACUGACAUUUCGAACUAAAACCCACCUGUUGAUCCUGGUGUUAUUUUCGGAUUCAGAAAACUUAAGGCUAAUUUUAAUAAUUUUUAGGCGGGUGGAGGCACAUUUGUGUUGGCCACCUCGUACAUCUGGCGCUGCUUGUUUCGCCUGUUGUGGGCGCUUACUAGAAUGUAUAUGCCUAGGAUAAUAGCGAGGGCCAAAAGCAGGCAAGUGACCACAAACCAGCAGUAGAAUCCUGGACCAUCCUCAUCGAACUCGUCUUCCUGUGCGUUCUCCCACUCGGUGUAGUUACCCGAUGGAUCCUCCUUUAUCUGGCCAACCUUCUGCUCUCGGAAAAGCGAGGCCUUGGCCAGAUUGCUUGAUUCCGGAUCCAUGAAAACUGGCUCCGUGUUGUCUAUUCGGAUGAAGGCUUUUUCUGCAACAUCCAGGCCACCCAUUCCAUUCGAAUCCAGUUCGAGGACAGAGGAACGGUGCUCGAAGAGCAGGGGCAGCCUGGAGAGCUUCUUUUGCCUAUACACACUGGACAUAUUCACCAGGAUCUUCUCCACAAAGGCGUAGUUCAGGCUACCGUAAAUGGGCUUUCGUUCGCCGCUGGGAUUACGGAGCACACUGUUGCCCAGGUGCAUCUUGUAGCUGUUAGUGACAUUUCGCCAUGGCAGAACGCCUAUCGAGUCAUCUUCCCGAGAAACUUACAAAGUUAUCGCCGAAAAUCAUGACUACGCAGGUGAACAGGUUGUCGGACACCGCAUUGACAAGAUCCGUGUGCCGGAAGUGACAGAGCUCAGUCUUCUCGCGCUCCACGUUUGUGGCCUUGGCAAUAUAGGUCAGCCGCUCCUUCGGAUUCAGCUCGGCCGCAUAGUUCUGGAGCACGGUGUGGUAGGGCACCCAGGCCAGAACCGAAUCACCUCCGUUGGCGCACACCUCCGCCUGAGCACCCCUUCCAGUUAGUUCUCCGUUGCGAAGCCUGAGAAAGUGGUGGUUAUCCCGCUUGAUUGUUGUGGAGCCGUGAUCCGCGCAUAGGGUGUCCACGAGGCUUGCCUGGGAAAUAGAGAGAUAAAAGUUAGACGGAAACAAACACCUACAUCGUUCGUAAAUAACCCUCGUCUUCAGCUUAUCUCCGGUCCGCCGGCAUUAUCUUCUUUAGCUGCGAUGGACACUUUGUCACUUUAUCGUCAAGCUAAUUCAAUUUGGAAUAUCAGGCACUCGAAGGUGGCACACGAAUAAUUUACGGCUGGCAUUGGAUUUGUCACUUAAGGAUGUCGAUGGGGCAAACUAGUUUGGCGACACAACAUUUGCCAUUAAAGGCAAGGAGUUUUUAAACGGAGGCCAUUUCUAACAAAUAUGGAAUCGUGCAAUCUGCUUUAGUCGCCAAGUAAUUGGAUGAACUGCGACACUCUUAUUCCAAAAGCAGAUCCAUAACAAAUUGCAUUUGUGCUAGUUCAAUAGAACUGAUAUUUGUAAUUCUUUAUUGUUUACGUUUGGAAUUGACCGUUUCUAAAAUGCAGCUAUCAAUACUAAACUAUAGUAAAUGUAAAUCCAAAUGCA